ACAAGCGCUCCUUGGUGGGCACAGUGAGUUCACUGACCAACUUUUUUAAUGCAGCAAAUAAGCACAUGUGUCUUUGGCUAUGGGACAGCCUUCGUAUGAAGAAAAUUAAGCCUAGGAGAAGUUAUGUAACUGGCAAGUUCUCUGACUCUCAUCAGAUCAAAAGGAGGAAGAGGUGGCUGCAGCAGGUCACCCCACUGAUCUCCAGGACUGACCUGGGGGUCUGGGUGGCCUCCUGGACACCAGGCUUCCCUGGUGGUGCAGUGGUUAAGAAUCCGCCUGCCAAUGCAGGGGACACGGGUUUGAGCCCUGGUCCAGGAAGAUCCCACAUGCUACGGAGCAACUAAGCCCGUGCGCCACAACUACUGAGCCUGCGCUCUAGAGCCCGCGAGCCACAACUACUGAGCCCACGUGCCACAACUACUGAAGCCCGCGUGCCUAGAACCCAUGCUCUGCAACAAGAGAAGCCACCGCAGUAAGAAGCCCGCACAUUGCAACGAAGAGUAGCCCUCACUUGCCGCAACUAGAGAAAGCCUGCGCGCAGCAACAAAGACCCAAUGCAGCCAAAAAGAA